rnacentral:rRNA from 1 species
AGAGGCGAUGAAGGGCGUGCUAAUCUGCGAUAAGCGCCGGUAAGGUGAUAUGAACCGUUAUAACCGGCGAUACCCGAAUGGGGAAACCCAGUGUGACUCGUCACACUAUCAUUAACUGAAUCCAUAGGUUAAUGAGGCGAACCGGGGGAACUGAAACAUCUAAGUACCCCGAGGAAAAGAAAUCAACCGAGAUUCCCCCAGUAGCGGCGAGCGAACGGGGAGGAGCCCAGAGCCUGAAUCAGCAUGUGUGUUAGUGGAAGCGUCUGGAAAGGCGCGCGAUACAGGGUGACAGCCCCGUACACAAAAGCGCAUGUGCUGUGAGCUCGAUGAGUAGGGCGGGACACGUGGUAUCCUGUCUGAAUAUGGGGGGACCAUCCUCCAAGGCUAAAUACUCCUGACUGACCGAUAGUGAACCAGUACCGUGAGGGAAAGGCGAAAAGAACCCCGGCGAGGGGAGUGAAAAAGAACCUGAAACCGUGUACGUACAAGCAGUGGGAGCACAGGUUUACCUGUGUGACUGCGUACCUUUUGUAUAAUGGGUCAGCGACUUAUAUUCUGUAGCAAGGUUAACCGAAUAGGGGAGCCGGAGGGAAACCGAGUCUUAAUUGGGCGUUAAGUUGCAGGGUAUAGACCCGAAACCCGGUGAUCUAGCCAUGGGCAGGUUGAAGGUUGGGUAACACUAACUGGAGGACCGAACCGACUAAUGUUGAAAAAUUAGCGGAUGACCUGUGGCUGGGGGUGAAAGGCCAAUCAAACCGGGAGAUAGCUGGUUCUCCCCGAAAGCUAUUUAGGUAGCGCCUCGUGAAUUCAUCUCCGGGGGUAGAGCACUGUUUCGGCUAGGGGGCCAUCCCGGCUUACCAACCCGAUGCAAACUGCGAAUACCGGAGAAUGUUAUCACGGGAGACACACGGCGGGUGCUAACGUCCGUCGUGAAGAGGGAAACAACCCAGACCGCCAGCUAAGGUCCCAAAGUCAUGGUUAAGUGGGAAACGAUGUGGGAAGGCCCAGACAGCCAGGAUGUUGGCUUAGAAGCAGCCAUCAUUUAAAGAAAGCGUAAUAGCUCACUGGUCGAGUCGGCCUGCGCGGAAGAUGUAACGGGGCUAAACCAUG